rnacentral:rRNA from 1 species
GACGAACGCUGGCGGCGUGCUUAACACAUGCAAGUCGAACGGAAAGGCCCUGCUUUUGUGGGGUGCUCGAGUGGCGAACGGGUGAGUAACACGUGAGUAACCUGCCCCUGACUUUGGGAUAACUUCAGGAAACUGGGGCUAAUACCGGAUAGGAGCUCCUGCUGCAUGGUGGGGGUUGGAAAGUUUCGGCGGUUGGGGAUGGACUCGCGGCUUAUCAGCUUGUUGGUGGGGUAGUGGCUUACCAAGGCUUUGACGGGUAGCCGGCCUGAGAGGAUGGCCGGGCACAUGGGGACUGAGAUACGGACCAGACGCCAACGGGAGGCAGCAGUGGGGAGUAUUGCGCAAUGGGCGGAAGCCUGAUGCAGCAACGCCGCGUGCGGGAUGACGGCCUUCGGGUUGUAAACCGCUUUCGCCUGUGACGAAGCGUGAGUGACGGUAAUGGGUAAAGAAGCACCGGCUAACUACGUG